UACGAAGGGGGCGAGCGUUGUUCGGAAUUACUGGGCGUAAAGCGUGCGUAGACGGUUAUUUAAGUCGGAUGUGAAAGCCCCGGGCUCAACCUGGGAAUUGCAUUCGAGACUGAAUAGCUAGGGUGCGGUAGAGGGAAGCGGAAUUUCCGGUGUAGCGGUGAAAUGCGUAGAUAUCGGAAGGAACAUCAGUGGCGAAAGCGGCUUCCUGGACCAGCACCGACGUUCAGGCACGAAAGCGUGGGGAGCAAACAGG
rnacentral:rRNA from 1 species